rnacentral:tRNA from 1 species
ACCCAGCUAGCUCAGUUAGUAGGGCAUGUGACUCUUGAUUCCACGGUCCUGAGUUCAAGCCCCACGUUGGGUG